rnacentral:tRNA from 1 species
GGUAAAAUGGCUGAGGUUAAGCAAUAAAUUGUAAAUUUAUUUACGAAUAAUAUACAUUCUUUUACCA